GGCGAGGGUGGGGAGCGCGCGUCUCCCGGAUGGGCGCUAGUGGGGCCCCUCCGUUCUCGGAAACUGGGCAUUCCCGACCCGGGGACGUCCAGAGGGGAGCAAGUGAAACCCCUCUCCGCGCUGCGGAAGCAAGAUCCCGGACUGAGAAUCCCUGAGUCACAUUCCUGCAUUCCGCCCUUCAGACCCGGCCAGCUCCUAACCCGGCGCACCAGGGCCGCCCAGCGCUGGUAGCUCUGUGUCCAGGACCAGGCGUGCGGUCCUCCCCUGGAGGAACAUUGGCCAGGAGGACUGCUGGCUGUGAAGGUCAUGGUGGGGAGCCACAGGGAAAUGCAGGACGGUACCCCGAAACACAAUCUGGCAGAAGACCUGUUUGAAUUCAUAUCUGUUUAUUUGUGUUUAUCCGAUUCUCCUAAUAGUCUGUAAGCUAUCCCAACUUUGUUUUUAUCUCCACACCUGGAUCAAAGCCACACACACGCCAACACCUGGAUCAAAGCCACACACACACACACACACACACCACACACCAUGGGACUUUAGAUAUAAAAUUACUGAACUGAAUGCAUCAGAGCAAAAUUGAGCUCAGUGCGAAAGGCUAUGCACUGAGAAAAUGCAACUCCUGAUUCUCUUUGCCGUACAACAACACGCACACCCCCCCAAGGAUACAUAUGAAAAUGGUAUGAGGCCAAAGUGCGCACACAUAUUAAUUCUAAAAUGUCUCAUCAUGCCAGUUACGGUGUGUAGCACGCUAUCUCAAAACUUGGUGGUCUAAGGCAGCCGCUCGGGUAUUUUGCUCAAGAAUCUGGAACAAUUGGACAGGUCCAGGCUCUUCUCUCUCCUAGCAGAAGGCUGGGGGCUCACAUCCCUAAAUGCCUGCUCAUUCACAUUUCUCACCCGGGGGGCUGGCUUUUGGCCAAGAUGGGGACAAAGUACAUAAUGUACAGUGUCCAGUGCAGAAUGACAGCAUGGAGCCCCUUGUCGAAACUCUAUUAGGCAUUUGACAAAGGUGGCAGCCGGCCACGAAACCAAGCACGGACCUCUCCCCAGGACAGGUCCAACCCCGGGAAUCAGUAGCCCGGGAAAUCAGCCCCGGCUGAGACGUCUGGUGAGGCUGUCCCCCUCAACGCCUACACGUGGCCUCUCCACUUGGCUUGGGCUCCCCCACAGCAUGGGGCAUGGGCUUCACAGGCGAGCUUCUGGCAAGAGAGAGCAAAACCAGGUGAGAAUCACAUCACUCCCCUAAUCUGUGCUCAGAAGUCACAUGGCAUCACAUAUGAGGUAUCUCUUCAUCAGGGCAGCUGCAAAUACACGCCUGCUUUUAGAAGGUGGCUGGUGAGGUUUCCUGUCCUGGCGAGGAAUGGCGAGCUUCUGGAAGAGGCUGAAGGACAAGGAAGUCACCAUACACCUCCCCAGCUGCAAAGAUGGCUUAAGCAUAUUUUCCCCCCUAAUGCAAGACCAGACCAUGGGAAAAUUGGGUCCAUUUGUCCAACACACAUUUAUUUACCCUUUUGUGUGUUGUGUUGUGCCUAUGACUGUGGGCACUGAGCACGUGAAGGUAAAUAAGUCAUUUCUUCUGCAGUCAAAUAGUUUAUUGAGGCGCAGCACGAGCA